AUUGAACGCUGGCGGCAGGCCUAACACAUGCAAGUCGAGCGGAACGGCGGACGGGUGAGUAAUGCCUAGGAAUCUGCCUGGUAGUGGGGGAUAACGUCCGGCAACGGGCGCUAAUACCACAUACUAUCAGAUGAGCCUAGGUCGGAUUAGCUAGUUGGUGGGGUAAAGGCCUACCAGGGCGACGAGCCGUAACUGGUCUGAGAGGAUGAUCAGUCACACGGGAACUGAGACACGGUUCAGACUCCUACGUGAGGCAGCAGUGGGGAAUAUUGGACAAUGGGCGAAAGCCUGAUCCAGCCAUGCCGCGUGUGUGAAGAAGGUCUUCGGAUUGUAAAGCACUUUAAGUUGGGAGGCGUUACCAACAGAAUAAGCACCGGCUAACUUCGUGCCAGCAGCCGCGGUAAUAC
rnacentral:rRNA from 1 species